rnacentral:lncRNA from 1 species
UUUGGUUUGUGGUAGAUUGGACCAAAUAGAAGCUUGCAAAAAUGGAGAAGUUCCCUUCCUUCUUGAGCUAAGGAGAGCCGGCCAACAAGAGAAGAAAUAUGGUGAUUUUUUGUGAAUUUUUGGAUAUUUACUUAGUUGGGUCAAAAGUCAAAAAAAUGUCAAAAGGUGAAUAGUGUUUCAUAAAAGGUAUCCAAUAAGAAAGUGACAUGUGUCACUCUAUUAAAUGCAAUCUUAUCAUUCUUUUCUCUCUCACAUCAAUCACUUCAUAUACUCU